rnacentral:rRNA from 1 species
UACGUAGGGUGCGAGCGUUAAUCGGAAUCACUGGGCGUAAAGCGUGCGCAGGCGGUUUGUUAAGCCAGAUGUGAAAGCCCCGGGCUCAACCUGGGAACUGCGUUUGGUACUGGCAAGCUAGAGUACGGCAGAGGGGGGUGGAAUUCCACGUGUAGCAGUGAAAUGCGUAGAGAUGUGGAGGAACACCGAUGGCGAAGGCAGCCCCCUGGGUCAAGACUGACGCUCAUGCACGAAAGCGUGGGGAGCAAACAGG